GGAGAGGUGGCAGAGUGGUUGAAUGCGGCGGUCUUGAAAACCGUUGUAGUCUAUGGCUACCGGGGGUUCGAAUCCCUCCCUCUCCGCAA
rnacentral:tRNA from 1 species